rnacentral:lncRNA from 1 species
AAUGGUGAGGACUACUAAAACAACUUCCUAGAACCUUCAUUCCGUACCCCGACUAGUACUCGCUACAUUCUCGCCUCCUGAGAAGAAAAAUAGAACAAAAAGGAAAAGGGUGAGCUCAACUAGCCCAGUAAAGAAUAUUAUGACUAAGAUAAUAUAGAACAAAUUAUCGUUAGUCUUCAACAGGAAAAAAUCUGAUAGAAUACAAUAGACAACAAGUUUCAGAUCA